GUGAGAAAGUAGAUUGCAAAAGUAUGGCAGAUGUAUCAAAAAGACGAAAUAAUGAAAGGGAAAGGAGUGUAAGAGGACCAACAACAACAACAGGAAACAAGCAACAGGUGAUGCACCAGGACGCUGCACAGUCAGAGGAUCGUCUUUUGCAAAAUAUUGAAAUCACCUUUCCUCUGCAAGGGUGCGCCAUGUAUUGGGACUUGUGCGGAGUUCGUCAGUCGAGUACUUUUAAAAGGGAUUUUAAUGCUAUAUCGUUUAGUAAGAGUCCUGUGUUUGAUAACGGGUUGGGAGAGCAGCAAAGUGGGCGCCUAGUGCCAGGGAACGGGUGCGGAGAACAGGGUAGCGGGUGUGAAGCGGUGAUACACUUGGGAGUGAAGCAGGCAGCACCGUCCCUGAGCUGGGCGAGCGGGAGAGAGAGACUUCAGUGGCGUUUCGACGUGGCUCUGGAGUGGACGUGCGCAGUGUGUGCGGCGUGUGACGGCGUGUGCGUGUAAACGUGCGCGGAACUGUGAAAAAAUCAUUAUUCAUAACUUACAAGGACAAAUUGGCAUUCAUUUAUGAAUACACUGUACUGAGUAGGAAGUGUAAUGUGCUUGCCAACAGUAACCAUCGAUCAACCUUUGUAAGUUCAACGUUUCCGUUUAAAAGGUAAGUCCCUCUAUUAUAUUUUUAGCUGUUAGGAAGAAAUUUACUCAAGAGAAAUUUGCCAGGUACACGUUUGCGAUUUCAGUAGAAAGAAAUAUAUAUGUACACGCCAUUUUCCUUUUGCCAGGUGCGUGCGUAUGUAGAGGUCGGUUAUGUAAUCCACUCAGUUCAUACUUGGGAUGACGUAACCGUGCCUCGUUGUGGAUAAAAAAAAAUCGCAUUGCUUCGUUGUCUCUUAAAUCGGCAGAAGAGGUGGUCUGAGUAAAUAUUUGGCACUUGGGUUCAUAGCGGAGCGUAUUCAGUCAACCACUUUGAAGCGUGCCCAUCAAAGUCCUACUAUUUAUUAUGGCAAACGGAUAUUGAUUGUUUUCAUUGCCUGUCAUUCGCGUGAGGAGUGACUGUGAGGCGCCUUUGUUAAGAGAAACUGAAAGGGAAGGAAAUAGGGAAACUGUGACAGAGUGAAAGCGACUGUGAGUAUUUUUGCGACAUAGAGAUCUUUCGCUUUUAAGAGAUGAUGUUAUGAUUUGCGGAUUCUAUUCUAGAACAUUAGUAAGAGCUCUAUUAAAAAAUAAACUUUGCAUUACUUUCGCUUCAGUUUUAUGCUGGCAGACACCGUAUCAAGUAGGGUUGGUGAUUCUUUUGGUAAACUAGAAAGCUAUUAAUUGCAUAAUAACCUUUAUUAUUUAUAAUCGCAGCUCAUUAUCUUUUGUUAUUAUCAUCUGGGAACACUGCACGUGAAUACAUGACCUUUCACAAGGCAUCUUUUUGUAUGAUCAAUCAUAAUAUCAAUAAUAUCAUCAGUUGGCACUUUCUCGUAUGCAGUUAAUAUUUUUAUUCACCGAAUUUGCAACUAUAAGCAGCCAAUGACAGUUGAGAAAGAGGAAAUAGGGUGAUAUGGCGGAAAUACUGACACGAAGGGACAAGGCAAAACACCCUAAUCUGCAAAAGCCAUUUCAGGGCUAAAAAUUAUUAUUUUGUCUUGUUUAUCUUUUCGAACCCUCAUCCCCUCAUCGUGUUUUCCUUCCUUAACCUCUCUUUCAGAACUCUUAGUCUAAUUUAUUCCCUUUUUACCCCGUCUUGGAUCAUAAAAUAUUACAUUUUCAA
rnacentral:misc_RNA from 1 species